UGUCUCAGGCGAUAACCAUCAGGCUGCCUUCCACGCUGAAGAGCAAUGAUCACUGGGGGUCUGCAGACCCCCAGAGUCACGGAGAGGACAUGGAAGAAAGGGAAGGAGAGAGAGAGACCAAGAAAUGGAGACACAGAUCUGUUAUGUGCUAAAAACAAAGAAGAACCUCAUAACCGAUGUGGUGUAGCAUGCAAAUUUUAGACCCUCCUCAAGCAGGGGCACCCCAAAUGAAGAUAUUAAUGUAGAGACCAUAAAUAUUUCUCACCAGUAAAACUCCUAGAUGCCACUGAAGAAUCAAAUGUAAGACUUCUCUGAAGGAUUACUGCCACUUCUUAAAGUACCCAAGCAUUCCACAGGGAGGCUAUAUCCUAACUGAAAAAACGCUCACCAAGACCAAAUCAAGGAAGUGGUCCACAAAACAGGAGAAUCAACAGAUACAUGUGGGAAGAACAGCACCACAAGAAUAUGAGAUAAUCUAACAGUCUAAAGCUACUAUAAAUUUAAGUACAUUUACAAUCAUGAAGGAGAUAAAGGGAGAAAUAAAAAGCCCUCCUGGAAAAAAAAAAAAAACAGGAAAAGAAUUGGCAGUUAUGACAAUCCAGUAGAACAAUUCAAAAUGAAACACUGUGAAUAACAUUCAGCAAUGACCACCUUUGAGGGUGGAUAGGCACAGUUAAAGAGAAAAGUGAUGAUAUGGAAGAUACAUCUGAGGAAAUUACCCAGAGUGUGGCAGAGGGAGACAAACAACUAUGAAAUCAAAAUGACAGGUUUAGAGAUAUAAAGGAUUAAAGUAGAAGUUUGAAUUUAGCUAUAAUGGGAUUUCAGAAACAAAGUGCAAACAGGGCAAUGCUUUCCGUGAAAUAGCUAUCAAUUGUUCAGAAGUAAGAAAAGUCCUGAGACCUCACACAGAAGCAGCCCACUGAAUCUGGCACAUAAUCUGGUAGAUUCCUCAUAGGAAAAGCAGAACACUGAAGCAAACACUAACUGAAGAGCCAGUAAAGACAACAGAUAACACAGAACAGAAUAAUCAUUAGAAUAGGGGACACAUCAGCAAAAUGGAGACCAGAAAACUAAUCUGAGCAUCAGAAUCCCCUGAGAAGUACAUGAAAAUAGUCUUGGUUUUACCCAGAUGCUUCAGCUGGUGGUCAAGAGUGAGUAUGUGUUAAACAAAACAAACAAAACACCAAGAUUUCUGGAAUGAUCAAGUAGGUUGAAAACACUCUUAUUCCUGAGCACCAAAUACCUACACUCGUAUAUAUCCAUUCACAUUUUCACUACACUGAUCUCAGGCGUGUGUUAGUGAAAUUUUCCCCCACCCCUAAAAACCAUGGAGACAUUUGAUCUAAAACCAAGGAUAAUUUCUAAAAUUUUUCCCCCCAAUCUUUUGGAGUUUCAUGCUAAAUGGUGCCAGAAGAUGAACCCCAAAGAACAAGGCAAGGGAGUUAACACAAGCAUCUCUGACCUCACGAUUCCGCAACGUUCCUACUUCUGUUUCCUCUAGUAUAUGUAUGUCUGAGCAUCAGAGGACACAGACCUCCAGAAUCCUGUGUGCGUGUUUGAGAAGGAUAAAUAGUCCGCAUUUGAGAGCAUGUGGCAAGACAUGAUUCCUAGCUUACUUCGUAUUUCGUAUUAAAUACAAAAAGACACCUUAAUACACUAACAGCAGAAAUUCAGUCUAUUUUGCCUUUAUGGACAUCUGUUCUCAGACUAAUGGUUGUUUACCUAACUGCUAUAAUAAAGGCUAAUUUCUACAUUAAAGUAA